CUUAUCAAGAGCGGUGGAGGGAACGGCCCUGUGAAGCCCGGCAACCUGUGCGAGAGCAUAAGGUGCCAAAUCCGGCGGUGAAACGAAAGAUGAG
rnacentral:ncRNA from 1 species